UACGUAGGGGGCAAGCGUUGUCCGGAAUCAUUGGGCGUAAAGAGCGCGUAGGCGGCCCGAUAAGUCCGCUGUGAAAAGUCAAGGGCUUAACCCUUGAAUGCCGGUGGAAACUGUCGGGCUAGAGUCCGGAAGAGGCGAGUGGAAUUCCUGGUGUAGCGGUGAAAUGCGCAGAUAUCAGGAGGAACACCGGUGGCGAAGGCGGGUCUCUGGGCCGAUACUGACGCUGAGGAGCGAAAAGCGUGGGGAGCGAACAGG
rnacentral:rRNA from 1 species